rnacentral:rRNA from 1 species
GGUUCGAUUAUGGCUCAGAUUGAACGCUGGCGGAUGCUGGCACAUGCAAGCUCGAACGGCAGCACGGACUUCGGUCUGGUGGCGAGUGGCGAACGGGUGAGAACAAUGGAACGUGCCUAGUAGCGGGGAUAACUACGCGAAAGCAGUUUAAUACCGCAGCAUUGCCCUUCGGGGGAAAGCGGGGAUCCGGCCUCGCACUAAUAGAGCGGCUGGGAUAUCGAUUAUAGCUUAGUUGGUGGGGUAACGGCUCACCAAGGCGACGAUCCGUAGCUGGUCGAGGAUGACCAGCCACACUGGGACUGGAGAUGAGCGGCCCAGACUCCUACGGGAGGCAGCAGUGGGGAAUUUUGGACACGUGAAACUCCCGAUCCAGCCAUCUCGCGUGUGCGAUGAAGGCCUUCGGGUUGUAAAGCACUUUUGGCAGGAAAGAAACGCACGCGGAUAAUACCCCGUGCAACUGAUUAUACCUGCAGAAUAAGCACUGGCUAACUACGUGCCAGCAGCCGUAAUACGAAAGUGCAGGCAAGAACGGAAUUACUGGGCGUAAGCGUGCGCAGGCGGUUUCUUCCGGAAAGAAAGAUGUGAAACUUCAGAGCUUAACUUUGGAACUGCAUUUUUAAUCACCGAGCUUAGGAGUGUGUCAGAGGGAGGUGGAAUUCCGCGUGUGUAGCAGUGAAAUGCGUAGAUAUGCGGAGGAACACCGAUGGCGAAGGCAGCCUCCUGGGAUAAUACCGACGCUCAUGCACGAAAGCGUGGGGAGCAACAGGAUUAGAUACCCUGGUAGUCCACGCCCUAAACGAUGUCAACUAGCUGUUGGGGCCUUCGGGCCUUGGUGGUAGCGCAGCGCCAACGCGCAAAGCCGACCGCCUGGGGAGUACGGUCGCAUUUAAAACCAAAGGAAUUGACGGGGACUCCGCACAAGCGGUGACGAUGUGGAUUAAUUCGAUGCAACGCGAAAAACCUUACCCACCCUUGACAUGUUCGGAAUCCCGAAGAGAUUUGGGAGUGCUCGCAAGAGAACCCGGAACACAGGUGCUGCAUGGCUGGUGUCGUCAGCUCGUGUCGUGAGAUGUUGGGUUAAGUCCCGCAACGGAGCGCAGCCCCUCGUCAUUAGUUGCUACGAAAGGGCACUCUAAUGACUGCCAGUGACAAACCGAGGAAGGUACGACAAGUCCGCCCUUAUGGGUAGGGCUUCACACGUCAUACAAUGGUCGGGACAGAGGGUCGCCAACCCGCGAGGGGGAGCCAAUCCCAGAAACCGAUCAGUCCGGAUCGCAGUCUGGUAACUCGACUGCGUGAAAGCCGGAAUCGCUAGUAAUCGCGGAUCAGCAUGUCGCGGUGUGAAUACGUUCCCGGCCCUGCACACCGCCCGUCACACCAUGGGAGUGGGUUUUACCAGAAGUAGUUAGCCUAACCGUAAGGAGGGCGAUUACUACGUAGGAUUCAUGACUGGGGGUGAAGUCAACAGCAAUUCCAGC